rnacentral:ribozyme from 13 species
AAGAACAAAACGGAGAGGAAGAAGGAGAGGGAGAAGAAGAAGAGGGUGGUUCCUUUUUUUGGUGUUGAUCUCCUAUUUCUUCUUCUUGAUCUUUGUUUUCCGUUUCAUCCUCA